GAAGGUUGUAAGAUGACUUUAUUUUUUUAACGGUGGCACAGAAUCGGAAGCCCCGACUGUUUACUAAAAACACAGAUCGCUGCAAUGAUUAAUAUCAUAGUAUAGCGGUCGAAAUUUGCCCGAUGCCAUUAAUAUAAGAGAGGUAAUGGGAAACUGUGACUAAUCGAAAGUCUGGUUAAUAGCGGUCUUAACUAUGAGGAUCCUAAGGUAGCAAAAUAAAUUGGCCAUUAAAUGUGGUCCGGUAUCAAUAAUUUAACGAUGGCUUCACUGUCUCUACAACUUGCUCAGUGAAAUUGAAUUACCCGUGCAGAU
rnacentral:rRNA from 1 species